rnacentral:tRNA from 1 species
GCCGAGGUGGCGAAAUUGGCAGACGCGCUAGGUUGAGGGCCUAGUGGGGUUAAUACCCCGUGCUGGUUCGAAUCCAGUCCUCGGCA